rnacentral:rRNA from 1 species
GAUGAACGCUGGCGGCGUGCCUAAUACAUGCAAGUCGAGCGAACAGAUAAGGAGCUUGCUCCUUUGACGUUAGCGGCGGACGGGUGAGUAACACGUGGGUAACCUACCUAUAAGACUGGGAUAACUUCGGGAAACCGGAGCUAAUACCGGAUAACAUUUGGAACCGCAUGGUUCUAAAGUGAAAGAUGGUUUUGCUAUCACUUAUAGAUGGACCCGCGCCGUAUUAGCUAGUUGGUAAGGUAACGGCUUACCAAGGCAACGAUACGUAGCCGACCUGAGAGGGUGAUCGGCCACACUGGAACUGAGACACGGUCCAGACUCCUACGGGAGGCAGCAGUAGGGAAUCUUCCGCAAUGGGCGAAAGCCUGACGGAGCAACGCCGCGUGAGUGAUGAAGGGUUUCGGCUCGUAAAACUCUGUUAUUAGGGAAGAACAAAUGUGUAAGUAACUGUGCACGUCUUGACGGUACCUAAUAAGAAAGCCACGGCUAACUACGUG